GACGAACGCUGGCGGCGUGCUUAACACAUGCAAGUCGAACGGAAAGGCCUGCUUCCCCUUGUGGAUUGCGGGUACUCGAGUGGCGAACGGGUGAGUAACACGUGAGUGAUCUGCCCCCAACUUGGGUAUAAGCCUGGGAAACUGGGUCUAAUUCCCGAUAGGACUGCAGGGUGGUGCCUGUGGUGGAAAACGAUUUUCUAGUGGUUGGGGAUGAGCUCGCGGCCUAUCAGCUUGUUGGUGGGGUAAUGGCCUACCAAGGCGGCGACGGGUAGCCGGCCUGAGAGGGUGGACGGCCACAUUGGGACUGAGAUACGGCCCAGACUACUACGGGAGGCAGCAGUGGGGAAUAGUGCACAAUGGGCGGAAGCCUGAUGCAGCGACGCCGCGUGGGGGAUGACGGCCUUCGGGUUGUAAACUCCUUUCGACCGCGAGGAAGCCACCUGGUUGGAAGGGUGGUGACGGUAGUGGUAGAAGAAGCACCGGCUAACUACGUG
rnacentral:rRNA from 1 species